CCCCAGCCUCCCAUCUCUCUUUUCCUUCUUCUUCGUCUCUCCCCCCGUAACUCUCCCUUAGCUCUCUCCCUCUCAGCUCUCCCGUACCUCUCUCCCUCAACCUCUCGCAUCUCUCUCUUCCCCUGGACUCACUAGGACCGAGUCACCAUCGAAGAGAGGCUCGCAACGAACCCCGGACCCUGCCCUGCGAGUUCGACGGCACGGAGUAAGCUCCGGCGAGCACCGCCCCUUUCGAGGCCAUUUCCGGCCAAACCACGGCGAGUUGGCCGGCGUGUAAGUUUCCGGCGAGUCCGACGGAUUUCGAGGCAUUUUACGGCCAAACCACGGCGAGUUAGACGCCGUGUGAGGGGCAAAUAUUGUGACGCUUCCGUCUUCGCUAGUGGCGCAGCUUUUGGCAACUAAGUACUGACUUAGAAUCAAGGCACCUAAUCCCGGCGUCAAGGCACUUUCGCAGCAGCAUUUUCGGAUCCUCUCGAUGUAGGACCCACUCCUCUAUUCAUUAAAUUUUAUCUUAAUUCUUUUUAGUGAUUAGGUUUAGUUGUAUGCUCUGAGCACGUUCCUAAAUUAUUAAUUCCUUGUAUUUCAAAUUUCUAACCCUUAUUUAUUUCUUAUUCUUAGCUUUUGUAUCAAUUAAUGGCUUUCGU